CCUACGGGUGGCAGCAGUGAGGAAUAUUGGUCAAUGGCCGAGAGUCUGAACCAGCCAAGUAGCGUGAGGGAUGAAUGUCCUAUGGGUUGUACACUUCUUUUGUAAGGGAAUAAAACGAGGCACGUGUGGCUUUUUGCAUGUACUUGAUGAAUAAGGAUCGGCUAACUCCGUGCCAGCAGCCGCGGUAAUACGGAGGUUCCGAGCGUUAUCCGGAUUUAUUGGGUUAAAGGGAGCGUAGAUGGGUUGGUAAGUCAGUUGUGAAAGUUUGCGGCUUAACCGUAAAAUUGCAAUUGCGACUGGGCGUCUUGAGUACAGUAGAGGAAAGUGGAAGUCGAGGUGUAGCGGUGGAAUGCGUAGAUAUCAGGAAGAACCCCAGUUGCGAAGGCAGCUUACUAAACUGUGACUGACACUGAUGCUCGAAAGCGUGGGUAGCAAACAGGAUUAGAUACCCGUGUAGUC
rnacentral:rRNA from 1 species